ACCGAGGAUCUGAAAAAGCUUAAUCUUGCAGUAAUAAAUUCCCUUUUGGGUAGAGAGUGGAGGAAGCGUGCUGAAUGCCAGUUGCAACAAAUGCCAUCUUGGCCAACUUCUCAUGCAGCUAUAUGAAUGCACCAAUCAUCAAGUUUUAGUGGCAUGGAAAUACUUUAUUCCUUUACAGCAGUUACAGUUAACAGUUCCUGACAUCCUCGAGUGUGUCUACAAGCACAGCCAGAGGAGAACAUAAACUGUGGUUGUGGAAUCUGGUUUUACACCCGCCAAUUGCAUUUGCUUGGAAGUCUCUAAAGCUUUUUCAACAAGUCCAUUUUGUGCAUAUCUUACAGUCAUUGCAGUCCUUGAGACCACAUUUAUUUCAGGGAUACCGUUGUGCUCUGUCUUCUUUCACAUUUUGCAAGCAUGUCUACCAGAACAAUUGCAACUGCAGCAUAUGACAAAAAUCUUCUAUCCUUUAUGCUUUGAUGGAUGUCCAUACCUUAUUUCAGAGCUCCCAUUUUGGCACGAACAGAGAGGAUGCUAGCAAAGGUUGUGAAAUUUGGCUUUACACCUCCCAAGUGCACUUUCUUGAAAGUUUCUAAAGCCUUUUCAAACAGCACAGGGAACAACAAGAUCAACAUGUAAAUUUGGCUCGUAUAAAGUUGGAAAUUGUUGAGAAGGAAGAGAAGCAUGCAUCACCAAGUGAAUUCAGAUGCCAAAAUAAAUGAAUCAAUGCUGGCACAACAUAUAGAAGACUUGGCAAUUAUAAACCUAAAUUUUGAAUCAUCAUACUUUUUUAAUGAAUACUUGUCAAUUUAUUCA